rnacentral:rRNA from 1 species
CAGCAGCCGCGGUAAUACGAAGGGGGCUAGCGUUGCUCGGAAUUACUGGGCGUAAAGGGAGCGUAGGCGGACAUUUAAGUCAGGGGUGAAAUCCCGGGGCUCAACCUCGGAAUUGCCUUUGAUACUGGGUGUCUUGAGUAUGAGAGAGGUAUGUGGAACUCCGAGUGUAGAGGUGAAAUUCGUAGAUAUUCGGAAGAACACCAGUGGCGAAGGCGACAUACUGGCUCAUUACUGACGCUGAGGCUCGAAAGCGUGGGGAGCAAACAGGAUUAGAUACCCGGGUAGUCCCUGUCUCUUAUAA